rnacentral:misc_RNA from 1 species
AAAAAAAAAGUUUAAAAAAGUGGAAUGACCAAACUGAACAUAUCAUAAACUUGCAAUAAGAAAAAUAUUUCAUUUGUGGAGGGAGGAUAAUGAAUAACCCGUCGUGGGAAGAGCCAUUUCAAGUAAUUUUUAGAAGAAAACAUCACCAAUGAAACCAAACCACAAGGUCUGAGUGAUAAAGCAACUAAUGCAAAACAAUAUUCUACGGUUAAGAGUUGUUGAAAAACUUAACACCUAGUGAGAUCAUAUGCAGAAUUAAACAUUUUAAAGCAUGCUUAGUGAAAAACACAUGGUCCAACAAGCAUGAUUCAUUAUGAAACCAAUUUAGAUGUCCAUGGAAGCCCAAAACCAACGAUUUACAUAGUGACAAAAAUAUCAAGAAAGAAGAUAUUGCUUCUACUUACCAUUGAACUGCAGAACCUAAAUGUUAUCUCUAUCUAAUUAUAACAAAAUAUAAAUAUUAGCAAGCCAAGUACAGAGAACAACAAUCGCAAUAGUUACUUUAUGCAUAACGGGACUAUGAUCCUACAGUAGUACCAGUAUGAAUAACAAAAUAUAAAUAGUAGCAACCAAGUACAGAGAACAACAAUUGCAAUAGUUACUUUAUGUAUAAUGGGACUACGAUCCUACCGUAGUGCCAGUAUGAGCAUGUCAAGCGAAUGCGUGAUAUGACAGUGAAACAUCAAGCAUAACGGAAUAUUGCUACUUCGAACAUGCAUUCUAACAAAGCUAAAGCUCCAAAGUAACUCACCUGUAGUCAU